rnacentral:rRNA from 1 species
GAUGAACGCUGGCGGCGUGCUUAACACAUGCAAGUCGAACGAUGAACUAGGUGCUUGCACUUGGGGAUUAGUGGCGAACGGGUGAGUAACACGUGAGUAACCUGCCCCUGACUUCAGGAUAAGCCCGGGAAACUGGGUCUAAUACUGGAUAUGACUAUUGACCGCAUGGUUGGUGGUGGAAAGAUUUAUUGGUUGGGGAUGGACUCGCGGCCUAUCAGCUUGUUGGUGAGGUAAUGGCUCACCAAGGCGACGACGGGUAGCCGGCCUGAGAGGGUGACCGGCCACACUGGGACUGAGACACGGCCCAGACUCCUACGGGAGGCAGCAGUGGGGAAUAUUGCACAAUGGGCGAAAGCCUGAUGCAGCGACGCCGCGUGAGGGAUGACGGCCUUCGGGUUGUAAACCUCUUUCAGUAGGGAAGAAGCCGAAAGGUGACGGUACUUGCAGAAGAAGCGCCGGCUAACUACGUGCCAGCAGCCGCGGUAAUACGUAGGGCGCGAGCGUUAUCCGGAUUUAUUGGGCGUAAAGAGCUCGUAGGCGGUUUGUCGCGUCUGCCGUGAAAGACCAGGGCUCAACCCCUGGUUCUGCGGUGGGUACGGGCAGACUAGAGUGAUGUAGGGGAGACUGGAAUUCCUGGUGUAGCGGGUGAAAUGCGCAGAUAUCAGGAGGAACACCGAUGGCGAAGGCAGGUCUCUGGGCAUUUACUGACGCUGAGGAGCGAAAGCAUGGGGAGCGAACAGGAUUAGAUACCCUGGUAGUCCAUGCCGUAAACGUUGGGCACUAGGUGUGGGGGACAUUCCACGUUUUCCGCGCCGUAGCUAACGCAUUAAGUGCCCCGCCUGGGGAGUACGGCCGCAAGGCUAAAACUCAAAGGAAUUGACGGGGGCCCGCACAAGCGGCGGAGCAUGCGGAUUAAUUCGAUGCAACGCGAAGAACCUUACCAAGGCUUGACAUGUGCCAGACCGCUCCAGAGAUGGGGUUUCCCUUCGGGGCUGGUUCACAGGUGGUGCAUGGUUGUCGUCAGCUCGUGUCGUGAGAUGUUGGGUUAAGUCCCGCAACGAGCGCAACCCUCGUUCCAUGUUGCCAGCACGUAGUGGUGGGGACUCAUGGGAGACUGCCGGGGUCAACUCGGAGGAAGGUGGGGAUGACGUCAAAUCAUCAUGCCCCUUAUGUCUUGGGCUUCACGCAUGCUACAAUGGCCGGUACAAUGGGUUGCGAUACUGUGAGGUGGAGCUAAUCCCUAAAAGCCGGUCUCAGUUCGGAUUGGGGUCUGCAACUCGACCCCAUGAAGUCGGAGUCGCUAGUAAUCGCAGAUCAGCAACGCUGCGGUGAAUACGUUCCCGGGCCUUGUACACACCGCCCGUCAA